UACAGAGGUCUCAAGCGUUGUUCGGAUUCAUUGGGCGUAAAGCGCGUGUAGGUGGCUAUGCAAGUCGGAUGUGAAAGCCCUCGGCUCAACCGGGGAAGUGCACCCGAAACUGCAAAGCUAGAGUCUCGGAGAGGAUCGUGGAAUUCUCGGUGUAGAGGUGAAAUUCGUAGAUAUCGAGAGGAACACCGGUGGCGAAGGCGGCUCACUGGCCCGUUACCGACGCUCAGGCGCGACAGCGUGGGGAGCAAACAGG
rnacentral:rRNA from 1 species